AGACAAUAAGAAGUCAGAAGGAUCUAAUUCUAUAAAAGAAAAGAGUAGAAAUAAAGCUAGAAGCAUACAAAGAAUCCUCCAAAAACUGAAGGAAUUUAAAGACACUAACACGUGGUUAAAAAUACGAAUGUUUUUAAAAGUUUCAACCAUUGUUCUUGUUUUAAUGUUAUUCACCGUCUUCACUGUACAGUGGUUCUCACUCAGAAUAACUUCAAAUGAACCUGUUCAGUCGACAAUAGGUAAAGUAAACUUUCACAUCUCUGUUCAAUGUUGGAUAUUUGUCAAUCUCAGUUAUACAAUAAUUGUAAUUAUUAUUAUUACUAAAUUAUAUUUAAUUGUUCGUUACAUCAUUUCAAGGGAUUAUUGCCCUCACUCAAUUUUAAGCAUUAUAAACCUUAGCCUUGAUUUUCGAGUUGGUGGCAUAUGUUUAUUUAUGACCGUAGUUAUGUAUAUUUUAUUCUACAUGUAUUGUCUGUUGUUGUAUCUUUAAUCGGAGGAGUGCCUCGCAUGGGACCUCGAAUCCCGUUCGCACUCCUACCGUUUGGUCACUAUCCAAUAAAGUAUUUAAAACAAUCUCCAAAUCUCUUUUAAUUAUAUAGCCUUUUCUGGUGAUACGUUUUUCUCUGCUGUACGAAAUGCUACAUACUUUUCUAUGAUUUUGGGCCUUUGGUCUUUGUCUGUCGAAAUAAUUAAG